UACAGAGGUCCCAAGCGUUGUUCGGAUUCGAUUGGGCGGUAAGGGUGCGUAGGCGGCGCGGUAAGUCGGGUGUGAAAUCUCGGGGCUUAACUCCGAAACUGCAUUCGAUACUGCCGUGCUUGAGGACUGGAGAGGAGACUGGAAUUUACGGUGUAGCGGUGAAAUGCGUAGAUAUCGUAAGGAAGACCAGUGGCGAAGGCGGGUCUCGUGGACAGUUCCUGACGCUGAGGCACGAAGGCCAGGGGGAGCAAACGGGG
rnacentral:rRNA from 1 species